GCUCCCACUCUGAGCACACUGCCUAUGGCUUAGCCCUGCUCUGCAAAGAGCAGUACCUCUACUACUGCUGUACCCUGCUGCUGCAAUAAAUUUGCUGUCUAACACCACUACUGGCUCACCCUUGAAUUUUUUCCUGGGCAAAGCCAAGAACUCUCACAGCCUAUGCCUCAAUUUUGGGGCUCAUUUUUCCUGUAUCACUGGGACCAUACUUUGAAAACCAUUAUACUACCCUAUACAAAUUAGUGGCAAACUAGAGAAUGCAUGAUGAAAUCAUUUAUUUAAAAUCAUUUAAAUUCAUCCAAUUAAAAUUAUUCAUAUUCACAUCUAAUAAGUCAAAGGAGGAAGGAAAGGGGAAGAUGGCAUGUCUUCAGAAUAAAUAUGUUCUGCUUGCUUCAGCAAACCGGAAUGAACCGAGUCAAUAAUGGAAGAAUUUGUUGUAAUAUAUUUGUGUUUCUUUGUGUCCAAGAGUGUUAUUCACACAUGAAGCUCAAGAUGGUCCCUGAUGAUAUGUCACAGAGAUUCCUAAGGUACUCUUUUGUAAAGAAUGACUAGACAGAAAAUACUUCCUUAGUUCUGUAACAAGCAAUGAUUCCUGGAGUGGGAAAUGUUCUUGUGGGACCAGAGCUCAGUUGCAGCCUUUGCAGACUAAUGCUCCUGAUAUUAACAAGAGGUCUUGUGUUAACCCAACGAUCUAACUCCAGCCUGGUGAACCUGAUCUUUGGAACUAUUAGGGGGGAAGAUAAAAAGCCAGGGAACUGGGGAGAUGCCAAAGUAAUCACUUUCUGCUUGCUCAAGUUUGCCUGCAGUUUUCAAUUGGAUGCAGUGCCUUCCAUUUCCC